GACUCGAGAGGUGCAAAGCGAACUUUUUUUCUGCUAAAUACAUUAGAACCGCCGAAUAUAAGCACAUUUAAUUAUUGGAAACUAUGCGCGCACUACGACCUACGCCAUGCAAUCAACUAUGUACUACCACCCCGCCCCCUUUCCAACUAUGUACAAACUUUAAUUAUUAUUUAAUUUCAUUUUAAAGCUGACAACCUUCAUUGAGCUGUUUCCGUAUAUGGCAGCAAAAAGCCAAUGCAUUUUCAGAACGACACAAUAAGCGUUUGUUUGUCAUCCAAACGACCGCGUAACUGGCGCUGACGCAUCGCGUUCUUCAAAGAAAACCCACACACACUGGCAGCCCAGCCAGCCAAGCCAAGUCUCAAAAGCCAACAAGUUUGCGUAAGCAUCAUCAACAACCGAGUGGCACGAAGCUUGAGUGGCUGCGUUUGGUUCUCCUUUAAGUUGUUUUUUUUUUUUUUUUUUAGAUGCUGUGACAUACAAUAUGCGCGCUAUAGAAUUGCAAUGCGAAUAGAGAUUGGAUUUUAUGUGUGGGCGGUCCGUAGAGCGCUGUGCCAGCCACCGAGUACUUGCACAUACAUAUAUUUACGUAUGUAGGUACUUAUACAUGAUUAGAUAUUUAUGUAAGUAGCUGAAAUGAUAUGCCUUCUAAGCGCCUUCUUCCAUCAACAUUGCGGAAAUGAAAGACUACAGUAUUUUGUUUUUAUUUAAUU
rnacentral:lncRNA from 1 species